rnacentral:rRNA from 1 species
CUAGCCAUAAACCUUGAUAGUUAAACAACAAACUAUCCGCCAGAGAACUACCAGCAAAAAGCUCAAAACUCAAAGGACUUGACGGUGUCCCAAACCAACCUAGAGGAGCCUGUCCUAUAAUCGAUAACCCACGCUAUACCCAACCUGCCCUAGCAACCACAGCCUAUAUACCGCCGUCCCCUUUCGCCCACCUAAUGAUAGACACCCAGUAGGCACAAUAGUCCCACACUAAAACAUCAGGUCAAGGUGUAGCUAAUGAGCAGGAAGAGAUGGGCUACAUUUUCUCCUCACCAGAAAAAACCACCGGCACCAUGAAACAUGUGCAACCAAGGAGGAUUUAGCAGUAAGCCCGGCAAGACCCACAGCCAGGCUGAAGCCCAGCUCUGGGACA